rnacentral:rRNA from 1 species
CCUACGGUGGCUGCAGUGGGGAAUAUUGGACAAUGGGCGAAAGCCUGAUCCAGCCAUGCCGCGUGUGUGAAGAAGGCCUUCGGGUUGUAAAGCACUUUCAGUGGGGAAGAAAGCCUUGGGGCUAAUACCCUCGAGGAAGGACAUCACCCACAGAAGAAGCACCGGCUAACUCCGUGCCAGCAGCCGCGGUAAUACGGAGGGUGCGAGCGUUAAUCGGAAUUACUGGGCGUAAAGCGCGCGUAGGCGGUCUGAUAAGCCGGUUGUGAAAGCCCCGGGCUCAACCUGGGAACGGCAUCCGGAACUGUCAGGCUAGAGUGCAGGAGAGGAAGGUAGAAUUCCCGGUGUAGCGGUGAAAUGCGUAGAGAGCGGGAGGAAUACCAGUGGCGAAGGCGGCCUUCUGGACUGACACUGACGCUGAGGUGCGAAAGCGUGGGUAGCAAACAGGAUUAGAUACCCCAGUAGUC